rfam:Triticum aestivum genome assembly, contig: Triticum_aestivum_CS42_TGACv1_scaffold_622238_7DS
AUAAUACUACCUCUGUCCUGAAUUAAUUCUCGCCGAAAUGGAUGUAUCUAGACGUAUUUUUAGUUCUAGAUACAUCCAUUUUUCUAUGUAUUUCCGCGACAAAUAAUUCAAGACGGAGGGAGUAUGAG